CCAGACUCCUACGGGAGGCAGCAGUGGGGAAUAUUGCGCAAUGGGGGAAACCCUGACGCAGCAACGCCGCGUGAAGGAUGACGGCCUUCGGGUUGUAAACUUCUGUCGCAGAGGAAGAAGAAAGUGACGGUACUCUGUGAGAAAGCCACGGCUAACUACGUGCCAGCAGCCGCGGUAAUACGUAGGGGGCAAGCGUUAUCCGGAUUUACUGGGUGUAAAGGGGGCGCAGACGGCGAUGCAAGCCAGGAGUGAAAGCCCGGGGCCCAACCCCGGGACUGCUCUUGGAACUGCGUGGCUGGAGUGCAGGAGGGGCAGGCGGAAUUCCUGGUGUAGCGGUGAAAUGCGUAGAUAUCAGGAGGAACACCGGUGGCGAAGGCGGCCUGCUGGACUGCAACUGACGUUGAGGCCCGAAAGCGUGGGGAGCAAACAGGAUUAGAUACCCCAGUAU
rnacentral:rRNA from 1 species